rnacentral:rRNA from 2 species
GGCGUUUACCACGGUAUGAUUCAUGACUGGGGUGAAGUCGUAACAAGGUAACCGUAGGGGAACCUGCGGUUGGAUCACCUCCUUACCAAA